CCUACGGGGGGCAGCAGUGAGGAAUAUUGGUCAAUGGACGAGAGUCUGAACCAGCCAAGUAGCGUGAAGGAUGACUGCCCUAUGGGUUGUAAACUUCUUUUAUAUGGGAAUAAAACGUUCCACGUGUGGGAUUUUGUAUGUACCAUAUGAAUAAGGAUCGGCUAACUCCGUGCCAGCAGCCGCGGUAAUACGGAGGAUCCGAGCGUUAUCAGGAUUUAUUGGGUUUAAAGGGAGCGUAGGUGGAUUGUUAAGUCAGUUGUGAAAGUUUGCGGCUCAACCGUAAAAUUGCAGUUGAAACUGGCAGUCUUGAGUACAGUAGAGGUGGGCGGAAUUCGUGGUGUAGCGGUGAAAUGCGUAGAUAUCACGAAGAACGCCGAUUGCGAAGGCAGUUCACUGGACUGCAACUGACACUGAGGCGCGAAAGUGUGGGUAUCAAACAGGAGUAGAUACCCGUGUAGUC
rnacentral:rRNA from 1 species